UUAACUUGUUUUCAAUAUAUUUCAGACAUGACAAUUUACAAUAUGUGGUUUUACGGUUUUAAGGUGUUUUCACAGUUUGGUUUAAGAUUGGGGGGGAAGGGCGUAGCCCCUCCCCGACGAUCAAGUUUUUAAUGAUCCUUCCGCAGGUUCACCUACGGAAA
rnacentral:misc_RNA from 1 species